AUUGAACGCUGGCGGCAGGCCUAACACAUGCAAGUCGAACGAGUGGCGGACGGGUGAGUAAUGUCUGGGAAACUGCCUGAUGGAGGGGGAUAACUACUGGAAACGGUAGCUAAUACCGCAUACCAUCGGAUGUGCCCAGAUGGGAUUAGCUCGUAGGUGGGGUAACGGCUGACUAAGGCGACGAUCCCUAGCUGGUCUGAGAGGAUGACCAGCAACCCUGGAACUGAGACACGGUCCAUACUCCUACGGGAGGCAGCAGUGGGGAAUAUUGCACAAUGGGCGCAAGCCUGAUGCAGCCAUGCCGCGUGUAUGAAGAAGGCCUUCGGGUUGUAAAGUACUUUCAGCGGGGAGGCGUUACCCGCAGAAGAAGCACCGGCUAACUCCGUGCCAGCAGCCGCGGUAAUAC
rnacentral:rRNA from 1 species